GUGAGUACUCAGGGCUGAUUUCCUUUAAGAUUGACUGGUUUGCCAUAUUUAUAUGGUUGUGCUAUACACUUCUGUACAACCAAUGGGGUGUGGUGAAUGUUCAACAGCUCCUGCUGCUUUGGGAGAAGCAGAGAAGCGUGUGUUUCUGUCUAUAAUUACACAUGUGCCUGUGUAUAUAUAGUUUCUCGUAAAUUUUACCAUUUUCCCAUACUUAAAUUUUGAAGACAAUAGAACAAUAAAACGGACCCUGCCUUGUAAUGCUGAUUUCCUUGAUAUAAAUACUUCAUAUGGCCAGUCUCAGGCUACCAGUGUGAAUAUCACUAAUCAGAGCUGAGCAGAGGUGUGCAGUAGCAUACUAGAUUUUUCUCUCUAGAGCCUGCUACUUUCUUGCUGUGGCCUCCAAACCAGCAGCAUUAGCAUCACCAGGAAAUUUGUUGAAAAUACAGACUCCCAGGUUCCAACCUAGACCUGAAUCAGAAUCUGCAUUUUAGUAAGAUACUCACUUGCUACCUUGGAUUUUGCCUCCAGGCUGCAGGCACAGGCCAUAGAGAUUGGCUAGAAAUUCUUCAGGAACAGCUAGAAUGUCAGUGCUGGAAAGGCACUGAAAUGAAGUCGCUCAGUCAUGUCUGACUCUUUGCGACCCCACGGACUCUAGCCUACCCAGGGAUUGAACCCAGGUGUCUAGACUGCAGUACAGAGACUUAGUUUUCUUAGGUCUUACCGGUAUCACUAUGCAGAUUCUUUACCACUGAGCCACCGGGGAAGCCUCUCGUCAGGAAUACUCCCAGCUCUUUUGUAGAAUACGCCUUCAUUUUGGGUCUGUUGGAUGUUUCCUCCUGAUUUAAUUAAGGUGAUGAUUUCUGGGUGGGAAUAACACAGAAUAACCUAUCUGGAAGGCACCUGAUGGCAAUUUGUAUCAUUACUGACAACUCAGAUCACUUGGUGUUGGUCAGGUUACUGUUUUUCUCUUUGUAUUAACAGUUACUGAAUAUCUUGUAGGGAGAUAAAUAAACAGGAAAUAUUGAGAAAGAGGAGGAGAGAUGGGAUGUGGAAGAGAGACAGCUAGCUCUGGUCUUUCCAGGCAUGAUUGCAAUUUCAGUGUAAACAAAACAGCCUCGCCUCUAGGCAAAAUCGGAGUUGGCUGUUUUCCCGUGUAAAGGAAGAGGCAGUGUCACAAACUGACCACAGGGGGGCGGCAGAGGAUUGGGAUGAAAUGAAAACGGCUGCUGCUGCAGUCGUGUGCGACUCUGUGCGACUCCAUGACAGCAGCCCACCAGGCUCCCCUGUCCCUGGGAUUCUCCAGGCAAGCACACUGGUGUGGGUUGCCAUUUCCUUCUCCAGUGCAUAAAAGUGAAA
ensembl:lncRNA